UGGGGAAUUUUAGACAAUGGGCGAAAGCCUGAUCCAGCAAUGCCGCGUGUGUGAAGAAGGCCUUCGGGUUGUAAAGCACUUUUGUCCGGAAAGAAAUCCUUGGCUCUAAUACAGUCGGGGGAUGACGGUACCGGAAGAAUAAGCACCGGCUAACUACGUGCCAGCAGCCGCGGUAAUACGUAGGGUGCAAGCGUUAAUCGGAAUUACUGGGCGUAAAGCGUGCGCAGGCGGUUUGCUAAGACCGAUGUGAAAUCCCCGGGCUCAACCUGGGAACUGCAUUGGUGACUGGCAGGCUAGAGUAUGGCAGAGGGGGGUAGAAUUCCACGUGUAGCAGUGAAAUGCGUAGAGAUGUGGAGGAAUACCGAUGGCGAAGGCAGCCCCCUGGGCCAAUACUGACGCUCAUGCACGAAAGCGUGGGGAGCAAACAGGAUUAGAUACCCUGGUAGUCCACGCCCUAAAACGAUGUCAACUAGUUGUUGGGGAUUCAUUUCCUUAGUAACGUAGCUAACGCGUGAAGUUGACCGCCUGGGGAGUACGGUCGCAAGAUUAAAACUCAAAUGAAUUGACGGGGUCAUAGCUG
rnacentral:rRNA from 1 species